rnacentral:tRNA from 1 species
AAGGCUCAGUGGCAGAGUAUUUGCCUGGCAUGCACAAAGUCCAAGGCUCAAUUCCUUGU